rnacentral:rRNA from 1 species
GUCCACGCCGUAAACGAUGUCAACUAGCCGUUGGAAGCCUUGAGCUUUUAGUGGCGCAGCUAACGCAUUAAGUUGACCGCCUGGGGAGUACGGCCGCAAGGUUAAAACUCAAAUGAAUUGACGGGGGCCCGCACAAGCGGUGGAGCAUGUGGUUUAAUUCGAAGCAACGCGAAGAACCUUACCAGGCCUUGACAUCCAAUGAACUUUCUAGAGAUAGAUUGGUGCCUUCGGGAACAUUGAGACAGGUGCUGCAUGGCUGUCGU